AAUGGCUCUGAGCACUAUAGGACUUAACAUCUGAGAUCAUCAGUCCCCUAGAACUUAGUAGUACUUAAACCUAACUAACCUAAGGACAUCACACACAUCCAUGCCCGAGGCAGGAUUCGAACCUGUGACCGUAGCAGUCGGGCGGUUCCGGACUGAAGCGCCUAGAACCCCUCGGCCACCGCAGCCGGCUAUACUCCACUUGUCUGUGUUAAAUGGGUGCUGUGAGCUGAGACAAAAAGUCAGAAACAUGCCCACACCUCUCUUACCUCCCUGCCACACAAGCUGAUGCUGUAUGCGUACAGUACAUACACAGCUCACCUAGACAGUGACUGCUACUCUUUCCCUGUAAUUGUACUAGAUUUCACAGCUAUUAGUAUAAUAUUUCACAGACUUUACCUAGCCAAUGAGCAAAAACUGAUACAAGCAGCUCCACAAUUUGCUGUAACUGCCUGUCUGUCUUGCCCCUAGUGCACACAGUGAGUUGCCCAGAACUGGCAGGCAAUAUACUUGGAGACUGAAGAAUAUUUUGCCGGCAAUUUUCACAGUGUCUGUUCCAAUAGAACUGCAAUCCCUGCAAUGUAAACAUUACAGCAUACAAUGUAAUAAUUUGAGCUUAUUUUUAAUCAGGGUAACUUUUUUAAAGAAUGGUUUUUGUAAAUAUAUUUUAUAAUAAAGUGCUGCAAUACCUGGACAGUAUUCUUAUGAGACAGAGCUUCUUAAAAGAUAUGUGGCUAUAUCACAUUAAUGUUAUUUCUGUGGGUCUUUCUACACUGAGCUACUAAUCAAUAUCUUCCAACCAUUAGAGGUGAAUGUUCAUUUUGUUACUUAAAAUAGUUACGGUGCUGUCCAGAAGAAUUUCAGUGCUGUCUGAAUGCACAUGAUCUUUGCUCUUUCUAUUCUCUACAUGUUUACAAGGGUGUAAGAGUAAAAGUGCCAUGCCGCUCAUGCUUGCGAAGUAAACUGUAGGUCUGUAAACAUUGCAAGACCUGAUACAUGUACUUACUACUGGAACAUAUAACAACAUAAUAGCAACUUAUACUGAUUAAAACAAGAUAGUAAUAUCUUCUGCUCAAUGUAACUCUUAACACCCAAACUUUGACUGACUAGCGUAUUUUAGAGUGCCUGCCACAGCAGUAUGCAAGCAUGGGCUGCCUUAGUGUUAAUUUUCAAACAAUUUAGCUACAGUAAGAAUCAGUAUUUGCAUUCUGUGGGCUAUUCCCAGGCCCUUGACUGAAGAAACAUUUUUUCACGCAUCCCAUAUUACACGGUCAUUGUAAAAAUGUACAACAGUAACAAUCAAAGACAUUAUGCUCACAUUUCAGUUACACAGUAUUCUUGAAAUGUCAUAGCUCAAUAUCAUAUAAUUUAUUUAAUCACCACUUUUGUGUUCUUCAAUUGUAUAUAACUUUUGAUGUAUGAUAUAUUGUGUCUCUCUAUACUGUAUGUCUGGAAUAAAAUUAUUGCUUUAUAACAA